GAUGAACGCUGGCGGCGUGCCUAAUACAUGCCAGUCGAGCGAACAGACGAGGAGCUUGCUCCUCUGACGUUAGCGGCGGACGGGUGAGUAACACGUGGAUAACCUACCUAUAAGACUGGGAUAACUUCGGGAAACCGGAGCUAAUACCGGAUAAUAUAUUGAACCGCAUGGUUCAAUAGUGAAAGACGGUUUUGCUGUCACUUAUAGAUGGAUCCGCGCCGCAUUAGCUAGUUGGUAAGGUAACGGCUUACCAAGGCGACGAUGCGUAGCCGACCUGAGAGGGUGAUCGGCCACACUGGAACUGAGACACGGUCCAGACUCCUACGGGAGGCAGCAGUAGGGAAUCUUCCGCAAUGGGCGAAAGCCUGACGGAGCAACGCCGCGUGAGUGAUGAAGGUCUUCGGAUCGUAAAACUCUGUUAUUAGGGAAGAACAAAUGUGUAAGUAACUAUGCACGUCUUGACGGUACCUAAUCAGAAAGCCACGGCUAACUACGCG
rnacentral:rRNA from 1 species